rnacentral:rRNA from 1 species
CCUACGGGUGGCAGCAGUGGGGAAUAUUGCACAAUGGGGGGAACCCUGAUGCAGCGACGCCGCGUGAGUGAAGAAGUAUUUCGGUAUGUAAAGCUCUAUCAGCAGGGAAGAAAAUGACGGUACCUGACUAAGAAGCCCCGGCUAACUACGUGCCAGCAGCCGCGGUAAUACGUAGGGGGCAAGCGUUAUCCGGAUUUACUGGGUGUAAAGGGAGCGCAGACGGCUGUGCAAGUCUGGAGUGAAAGGCGGGGCCCAACCCCCGGACUGCUCUGGAAACUGUAAAGCUGGAGUGCAGGAGAGGUAAGCGGAAUUCCUAGUGUAGCGGUGAAAUGCGUAGAUAUUAGGAGGAACACCAGUGGCGAAGGCGGCUUACUGGACUGCAACUGACGUUGAGGCUCGAAAGCGUGGGGAGCAAACAGGAUUAGAUACCCGAGUAGUC